AGCUCAGCCCAGGAGUGCACCCGGUCUCGCUAGGACCCAGGAGGCGCCGGGCGGAGCGAUUCCCGGGGUCACUCAGCCUGGCAGCAGGAAGUGAAUUGCGGUCGCUGCAGUGACUCUGUGGCGGUGAAACCCACGUCCCUAGCAAGACCCCGGGGCUUCGGCUGCUGCCGCUGGGGACCCAGAGCCCUGGCUGCAGGCGGGGAGGAACAUUCCCGCUGCUCCCCGAGAGGCUCUCCCCGUGCAGAGACCCCAGCCUGUCCCGCCCGCCCUUACUGGGACCCAGAGCCCUGCUCCCAGGCAGAGCCCCACGUGGAGAGAAGAUCAUCCCAUUUUUGUGGGGGACAGGGAAGCGAAAUGGAUGUGAUGGAUCCAGCUCAGAUGCCGGUGACAUUCGAGGAGGUGGCUGUGUAUUUC